AGUAAAAUCAGCUAAAUAAGCUAUCGGGCCCAUACCCCUAAAAUGUAGGUUAAAAUCCUUCUUUUGCUA